CAUCGCGGGUCGCGCUGCGCGGGGCUUAGCAUGAGAUCACUUAUGCCCACCAAGGUCACUCGCGCGACGGGCACUUCUGCCGCGGCGCGAGUCGCAGGUAGGUCGGCAAGGGGAGCAGUGCGGCGCCGGAGGAAGCCUCGUGUCGCCCUGACAGGUCUGACACUACGAAACCAUCAAGAUGGCUUCCGCUCACCUGAGGCGGGUGGCCGCUGGAACAGCGUUCCUUGGAGCAGGUGCUCUUGCUGCGUCUUGGCUAACCAGUGAAGCCCCCAGCCGAGUUUCAGCAGCUGAAAUCAGUGGAAAGAAACUACGAGCAAAACGCACUCUCCCUCCUCGCGAUGAACAGAUCAAAUCACUUCAAACUGAAGAUGAAUUUGAUGUUCUCAUUAUUGGUGGAGGUGCUACUGGAGCUGGAUGUGCUCUGGAUUCAGUUACUCGGGGCCUGAAAACAGCUCUUGUCGAAUUGGACGAUUUUGCAUCUGGCACCAGCAGUCGUUCAACCAAACUUAUCCAUGGUGGUGUUCGUUACCUCCAAAAAGCGAUUUUUAAUUUGGAUAUUGAUCAAUAUCGGAUGGUGAAAGAAGCUCUUCAUGAGAGGACCAACAUGUUGGAGUCAGCACCACACUUAACUCAUCCUCUACCCAUCAUGUUGCCUGUAUACACGUGGUGGCAGAUACCAUACUACUGGGUGGGCAUCAAGAUGUACGAUUUGGUGGCGGGCUCAAAAAGUGUGAAGAGCAGUUAUUACCUUUCAAAGAAGGAUGCCCUAGAACUCUUCCCUAUGUUGCGUGGAGACAAACUUUGUGGAGCUAUCGUUUACUAUGAUGGACAACAAGAUGAUGCUAGGAUGUGCCUUGCCAUUGCUCUGACCGCUACUCGACAUGGAGCAACAGUUGCAAACCACGUUCGUGUCACCAAAUUGAUCCACGGCCAAGACGCUACAGGCAAGAGGGUUGUCCAGGGAGCUUCACUGCGCGAUGAGUUAACUGGCAAAGAGUGGGAUGUAAAGGCGAAAUGUGUCAUCAAUGCCACUGGUCCUUUCACUGACUCCAUCAGGAAGAUGGAUGAUCAGAAGGUGAAAGAAAUCUGCUGUCCAAGCUCUGGUGUGCACAUUGUGCUUCCUGGAUAUUACAGCCCUGACCAGAUGGGACUCCUUGAUCCUGAUACAUCAGACGGACGUGUCAUCUUCUUCCUGCCUUGGCAAAGACAGACUAUUGCCGGAACCACUGACCGUCUUUGUGAUGUAACCCAUGAUCCAAAGCCCACUGAAGAUGAGAUUGAGUUUAUUCUGGGUGAAGUGAAGAAUUACCUCAAUCCUGAUGUUGAGGUCAGGAGAGGUGAUGUAUUGUCGGCAUGGAGUGGUAUCCGUCCUUUGGUCUCAGACCCUAACAAAGAGGAUACUCAGUCACUUGCACGAAACCACAUUGUCCAUGUCAGUGAUUCAAACCUUGUGACAAUUGCUGGUGGCAAGUGGACAACUUACCGUGCUAUGGCAGAGCACACCAUAGACGCAGCUGUUAAAGCAUGCAAGCUACCUGCUACCAAAGAAUGCCAAACUGAUGGUCUUUUGAUUGAGGGCGCUCAUGGUUGGACUCCUACCAUGUACAUUCGACUUGUACAAGAUUUUGGUCUGGAAUGCGAGGUCGCCCAACACUUGUCAAUGUCCUACGGUGACCGUGCCUUUGCUGUAGCAAAGCUGGCCUCUUUGACUGGCAAACGCUUCCCCAUUAUUGGCAAGAGGAUCCACCCUGAGUUCCCCUACAUUGAUGCCGAGAUUCGGUAUGGUGUGCGAGAGUAUGCUUGCACAGCUAUUGACAUGAUUGCCCGCCGCCUUCGACUAGCCUUCCUGAACAACCAGGCAGCUCAAGAAGCCCUGCCAACUGUUAUUGAUAUUAUGGCUGAAGAACUCAAGUGGAGUGAGAAAGAAAAGAAGGUUCAGUAUGAAAAGGCUACUGCUUUCCUUGCUGAGCAGAUGGGACAACAGGUGAACCGUGCUUCCAGGGAGAAGAUGAGCAUUAACCUGUCCAAGGAUGAAAUGCAGUUGUACAUUAAGCGCUUCCAAAUGAUUGACAAAGAACACAAGGGCUAUGUAUCUAUCAAUGAUAUUAGGCGAUCAAUGAAGAGCUUUGGUGAAGAUGUGUCUGGAGAAGAAUUACACGAAAUCCUCAAAGAGAUUGACACCAACAUGAAUGGCCAAGUUGAGCUUGAUGAAUAUCUGCAGAUGAUGUCAGCAAUUAAGUCUGGUGCUGUGGCAUACUCACGGUUUGCACGUAUGGCUGAGAUGCAGGAAGCCGUCGUUGAGAAAGAGGGUCUUAUGAAGAAGGUUUCGGUGGAGCGCAGUGGAGGUGGCGUUUAAAUCACUGUUAUCAAUCAUGCUUAUGUCCGUUUUAAGCAAUACUCAUUUACAUGUCACCAUCACCUAUGUAAUUCUGUCAGAAUUGCUGUCUUCUCUAUCACAAAGGCACUUCAUGACAAGUGGGCCAUCAUGCUAUUAUGAAAGUUUGUCUGGUUCUUGGGCUGGUAUGCUAUAUUGGGCUCAAUGGUAGCACAUUAGUUAUGCUUCAUCUGUUCACUGCUUGAAAAUUUUGUUUGGAAGCUGUCGGGAUAUUUUCAUAUUCCAUCUAAAUUUAGAUUAAUUUCCUUUUCUUAAAUGAAAAUUCUUUCCAGCUUUUAAACAAAUUUCAUAUAAUGGCCUGCUUGAUGUGAAGUGGCCACAAACUCUUGAGUUUGUUAUGUAGCUCCACUCUCUGUAGAGACAGGUUUCUCUCUUUUGGAACACUAAAAAAUACUGUCCUUUAGCUACUUCAGUAUUUGCUACAUCACUAUGGAAUCCCUCUGGAAAACCUCAGAGGAAUUUUUACAAUAAGGAAAGUAAUUAUAAUAAUUGUGCCAUUAAUGAAAAAGGCAGCAGAAUGGCAACUAGGGACAAUGAACGAACGUUCUUCUCAGUGUCACUGUGAAUGUUUUCUUUCUGCAUACAUGGUGUAUGUAGCUACAAGUGGGCUAUUUUGCUCAUGCUUUUUAAGGUGUUGUGAAAAAAAUAUGCUAUGUUGUUUGCAAGGGACCUUCUACAUGUUUUUCAAUUUUGUACACAAAUGUGGCUUGGGAGUGGGCCUUUUGUAGAAGGGAGAAAAAAAUAACUACUUAAAUUUCAUCAUGUACCUUGCUUAGGGGUUGGUGUGCACUCCUGUUGACGGACAAAUUGUGUAUACAGAAAGUAGGUGACUGGGAAGAAUCUUAUUAUUAUCUGCAUAGAAGUCACUAUUCUUCUUUUCUCACUGUGUCUUCUAGUCGUAUGUUCUUCUACAUCAGUAAAGUUACAUAAUGAAUCAACUAAUUGAAUCUCCUGAUAAUUGAUUGUGGUUCCUUAGGUUAUUUUGUAACUUUGAUGACACAUUUAGUUAUCUCUGUUAUUUAUUGAAUGAACUGUAUCUUGGUCACCUAUUGUCAAGACCUUUGUGCUGUGUCAACAGAUAGAAGCUUAUCUGUCGCGUUAUGGUAUUGAUUUCAACUUGAAAUUUGAUAAUAAAUAAUAUUUUUGGUGUCAAUGAAUUCAGGUUGUUUUGUCUUACAACUGUGGUAAUUUAGCAUUCGGACUACCUCAGCACUCAAAACAGAGGCAUGCUCUCAUUGCACGGUGUAAAGCCACUAUUUUAAAAAUUAGUGAAUGGUUUAAAUUUCUAUCAAGUUUCUUGUUUUGCUAGAAAUCAUAGGUUUCAAAAUAAGUCUUAUCAAAUCAUGUUGAUAUGAGCUUGAUGCUUCCAGUUGGUGGUUCUUGUCAGCAUGCCAUUGUUGUAAGGUUUCUAGUUUAUUCCCUUAGCUGAAUGUUUCCCAAAAGGGCUCCCAAAAAUAAAUUUACUGUAAUUUCCGUUAAUCUGUACUAUAUGCCCUUAAAUAUUUAACUAACAAUUAGGUGGUCUAAAUACCUUUCUAUUUUCCGAUUUUCUUGUUUUUUUUUUUUUUAAUCUAAGAAUUGUGAGUACUAUUCUUCUUUCACUGUUGUAACCACAAACUGAUAGUGACUGAAAGGAUGGAUUUCUCAUGCUGAGUGCUCUUGACUGCAAUUGAAUCAACUACUUUAAUUUUAGGCGGUGAACAUUAUCUGCAGUAGAAAUGGCCUUCGUGUUCCUACAGCUACUGUUCCAUCUCCUGAGCUGUGACUUCUCAAGGAAAAGUACCUCAUUAUUUAUUUGAUUGAGAUUUUUUUU
rnacentral:misc_RNA from 1 species